rnacentral:tRNA from 1 species
AUGUCUUUGGUGUAAGGUAGCAUAGCGGUCUCCAAAACCGCAGAUGUGGGUUCAAACCCUGCAGGACAUG